UACGAAGGGGGCUAGCGUUGCUCGGAAUCACUGGGCGUAAAGGGUGCGUAGGCGGUUUGUUGCGUCGGCUGUGAAAUCCCGAGGCUCAACCUCGGGUCUGCAGUCGAUACGAGCAAACUAGAGUGUUGCAGGGGAGACUGGAAUUCCUGGUGUAGCGGUGAAAUGCGCAGAUAUCAGGAGGAACACCGGUGGCGAAGGCGGGUCUCUAGUACGGUACUGACGCUGAGACGCGAAAGCGUGGGGAGCGAACAGG
rnacentral:rRNA from 1 species